GGAAGAAGAAGCGGUCGUCAGGGCUGAGGGAGAGGGCAGCGACGGCCUUGGAGUCGCCCUCGAGGGUCCCCUGGAAAGAGGCCUCGGCAGCAUUGACGACCUUGAUUUGGUCGCCGCAGGCGAAGGCGAGGAAGGCACCGCCGCUGUAGAGCUGCGGCGGCGUAGGUACGCACCGGUGGUUCCACUCAGGCCCAUUGGAGACGCGCCAUCGUCGGGGGUGGCGAGGUUCUUGCUAGGGUUUGGAAGGUACCGGCAAGGGGGCAGAG
rnacentral:lncRNA from 1 species